rnacentral:rRNA from 1 species
AUUGAACGCUGGCGGAAUGCUUUACACAUGCAAGUCGAACGGUAGAGGGGCAACCCUUGAGAGUGGCGAACGGGUGAGUAAUGUAUCGGAACAUGCCCAGUCGUGGGGGAUAACGUAGCGAAAGUUACGCUAAUACCGCAUACGAUCUAUGGAUGAAAGCGGGGGAUCGCAAGACCUCGCGCGAUUGGAGUGGCCGAUAUCAGAUUAGGUAGUUGGUGGGGUAAAGGCCUACCAAGCCGACGAUCUGUAGCUGGUCUGAGAGGACGACCAGCCACACUGGGACUGAGACACGGCCCAGACUCCUACGGGAGGCAGCAGUGGGGAAUUUUGGACAAUGGGCGAAAGCCUGAUCCAGCCAUUCCGCGUGCAGGAAGAAGGCCUUCGGGUUGUAAACUGCUUUUGUACGGAACGAAACGCGCUGAGUUAAUACCUCGGCGUAAUGACGGUACCGUAAGAAUAAGCACCGGCUAACUACGUGCCAGCCGCCGCAGUAA